GUCUACGGCCAUGCCAGCCUGAACGAGCUCGAUUUCGUCUGAUCUCAUGAGCUAAACAGGGCCUGGUUAGUACUUGGUUGAGAGACCACCUAGGAAGACCAGGUGCUGUAGGCA
rnacentral:rRNA from 1 species